rnacentral:rRNA from 1 species
UAGCCGUAAACGAUACUCGCUAGGUGUCGGCCACGGUGCGACCGUUGUCGGUGCCGUAGGGAAGCCGUGAAGCGAGCCACCUGGGAAGUACGGCCGCAAGGCUGAAACUUAAAGGAAUUGGCGGGGGAGCACAACAACGGGUGGAGCUUGCGGUUUAAUUGGAUUCAACGCCGGAAAUCUACCGGGACCGACAGCAACAUGAAGGCCAAGCUGAAGACUUUGCCGGAUUAGCUGAGAGGAGGUGCAUGGCGUAGUCGUGU